rnacentral:misc_RNA from 1 species
CAAGGCUCCUGGGGCCCAGAGUGCGAUGAGCGCUGCCCGACCAACUGUUACGAGGAGGAAUCAACCAAGAACGUCUACUGUGACAAACUAUAUGGCAACUGUACUGAAGGCUGUAAAGCAGGAUACUACAACCAACGUUGUGAUGAGAGAUGCAAAGACUGCACAAGUGGACGUUGCGUGCAAGUGGAUGGUGCCUGUUUGCCAGGGCGAUCGUCUGGGGUUCUUCACCCCAACACAUUUCUCAUAGUGUUGGUUAUACUGAUUCCAGUCAGAGGAUACAGAAUCGCUGUGAUAAGCUCUGACACAAGCAUAUCUAGUCGCUUCUGUUGAUGCCUGUGGCUGCACGUAUUGUAAAGAUCUGCAGUGUGACUCUUCUGGACAUUGUCUUCAUGGAUGUGCUGAGUCUCACAACUA